AACGAACGCUGGCGGCAUGCCUAACACAUGCAAGUCGAACGAAGGCUUCGGCCUUAGUGGCGCACGGGUGCGUAACGCGUGGGAAUCUGCCCCUAGGUACGGAAUAACAGCGAGAAAUUGCUGCUAAUACCGUAUGAUGACGUAAGUCCAAAGAUUUAUCGCCUAGGGAUGAGCCCGCGUAGGAUUAGCUUGUUGGUGAGGUAAAAGCUCACCAAGGCGACGAUCCUUAGCUGGUCUGAGAGGAUGAUCAGCCACACUGGGACUGAGACACGGCCCAGACUCCUACGGGAGGCAGCAGUGGGGAAUAUUGGACAAUGGGCGAAAGCCUGAUCCAGCAAUGCCGCGUGAGUGAUGAAGGCCUUAGGGUUGUAAAGCUCUUUUACCCGGGAAGAUAAUGACUGUACCGGGAGAAUAAGCCCCGGCUAACUCCGUGCCAGCAGCCGCCGCGG
rnacentral:rRNA from 1 species